rnacentral:rRNA from 1 species
UACGGGAGGCAGCAGUGGGGAAUAUUGCACAAUGGGCGCAAGCCUGAUGCAGCCAUGCCGCGUGUAUGAAGAAGGCCUUCGGGUUGUAAAGUACUUUCAGUCGUGAGGAAGGUGUUAAGGUUAAUAACCUUAGCAAUUGACGUUAGCGACAGAAGAAGCACCGGCUAACUCCGCGCCAGCAGCCGCGGUAAUACGGAGGGUGCGAGCGUUAAUCGGAAUUACUGGGCGUAAAGGGCACGCAGGCGGUUAAUUAAGUUGGAUGUGAAAUCCCCGGGCUUAACCUGGGAAUGGCAUUCAAGACUGGUUAGCUAGGGUCUGUAGAGGGGGUAGAAUUCCAUGUGUAGCGGUGAAUGCGUAGAGAUGUGGAGGAAUACCGGUGGCGAAGGCGGCCCCUGGACAAAGACUGACGCUCAUGUGCGAAAGCGUGGGGAGCAAACAGGGAUUAGAUACC